CUGACGGUUGGUAUUCUGAGUUUUGUGAUAAAAGAUGUAAUUGCCAUCUCGAUGUGUGUGAUACUGUGAACGGAGUGUGCCGUUAUGGGUGUCCCAAUGGAUAUCAUGGUCACGAUUGUCUGGAACCUUGUAGUGAAGGAACGUGGGGGCCGAACUGUGAAACAUCAUGUGGGAAUUGUGCAACAGGUUGUGAUAGAUUCACAGGUUAUUGUAAUACAUCAGACUGUGAGCCUUAUUGGUAUAGUGGUCCUCGUUGUGACGAGUGUGCUGACGGUUGGUAUUCUGAGUUUUGUGAUAAAAGAUGUAAUUGCCAUCUCGAUGUGUGUGAUACUGUGAACGGAGUGUGCCGUUAUGGGUGUCCCAAUGGAUAUCAUGGUCACGAUUGUCUGGAACCUUGUAGUGAAGGAACGUGGGGGCCGAACUGUGAAACAUCAUGUGGGAAUUGUGCAACAGGUUGUGAUAGAUUCACAGGUUAUUGUAAUACAUCAGACUGUGAGCCUUAUUGGUAUAGUGGUCCUCGUUGUGACGUUUGUCCACCAGGGUAUUAUGGCAAUAACUGUUUUGAACUAUGUCGUAAUUGUGGUGGUAAUGGUACGUGUAGUACUUAUGGUAUGUGUGAUGAUGAUUGCGUACCAGGCUACCAGGCUCCGUUCUGUCAUGAUUGUGAAAAUGGUAAAUGGGGACCUAUGUGUGAUCAGACCUGUGGACAAUGUGUUACUAAAUCUUGUGAUCAAACGUCUGGUCUGUGUGACGAACAAGGUUGUCGGCCAAAUUGGAAAGGAGGGAAGUGUGAUGUUAGUGAUGUGCAAAUGGAUACAGUGAUAUUAGUAACAACCAUAACGGCAUUUGGUAUUAUCAUUAUACUAUUACUGGCGCUUUAUGUUAUUUACACGAGAAAAAGGAGAGGAAUUAAAGCUAGUACAAUGAACGGUACGAAGAACACUGGUUAUGACAAUUCAUUAGAUGACGUAGAAAGAGGUGGUGAUGACGAUGAUGAGCCAGAUGAAAUACCGUGUACUAUUAUCGAACCUACAGAAAUAGUUUGCUCGGAGAUGAAAGCUUACAAUGAUAGACGAAUGAAAAGUGACCAGUUUUAUCACGAGUUUAUGUGUCUGCCGACAGGAUCUCAUGGAAAACACUGCUAUUCAAGUAUGAAAGUCAACCUUUCCAAAAACAGAUUUGCUUCCAUACUUGCUUUUGAUCACUCGAGAGUAAAAUUGCACACCGAUAAAAAGAAUGAAUCCGAUUACAUCAACGC